AAAGUCGUAACAAGGUUUCCGUAGGUGAACCUGCGGAAGGAUCAUUAUGAAUGUUUAACUUGGCUCUUUUUUGAGCCAUUUUAAUAUUCUGUGAACUGGUUCUCUUUUUCUUCAUAUCUUGUUGAUUUCAUUCAUAUUCAGUUGAUUAGCGCAAGUUGGUUGAUUAAAGUAAAUGAAAGCAUCAAGUGUAUUGAAGAGAGGGAGAAUGCUAUUUGAUUAUCAUGUUUUAUUUCAUUUUAACUUUUUUUGCAGCCUUGAUUUCUCGCAAGAGAAUGAUUUGCAAAUAAAAAAGUUGAUAAAAAAACCAAGACAACUUUCAGCAAUGGAUCUCUUGGCUCUU
rnacentral:misc_RNA from 1 species